rnacentral:lncRNA from 1 species
AUUUAGCCGCGCCUAGGUUUUCCGGCGCCGGCCCUAGGUCCCGGCAGCGGUGGUGACGGCGGUGCCGGAGGUUGUCCUUGGCAGGUUUUCCUCGGCGCUUCUCCAUGGAGGAGGCGGUGCGAACGGCUUCAGCCCCGAAUGCUCGCAUCUCCCACUGGACGGCGACGAAGGCGGUGGCCGUGCGAGCGCAGGACUGGGCGGCCUGUGUGGGGGUGUGAGCCGCGGUGCCCAAGGCUGCGCCGGCGAGGGGAAGCCGCGCGGCCGGCCGGCCGACUAGGGUGAGGUCGCCACUCCUUCCUUUCAGGCUGGAGCUACUCGGCCAGGGUUUAAGACUUUAAAUGAGAAUAAAGGGUGGUAUUUACGAGGAAAUGAGAGUGAAUAAGUCAUCUCUAACCUCUCCCAGCCUUUUUUUCAUAAGAGAGACCAUAUUAAACUUACAUGCUCUCCCGGCUGUGAUAGACCUUCAGUUACAGAGAGAGGGAGCAGAGUGGGACCAGGUCUGAGAAUAGUGAAGCAACUCAUUCCUUUCAGGACAUUCCCUCUGAUGUCCUAUUUUCAAACUGUUUGAAGACUGCUUCAUUCUGCCUCU